GCUUGAUUAAUGAUUCAUUAAUUACUCCAUGACAAGAACAUCUUGCAUGGUUUUAUAUGCUAACAUAACGUCACUUUAUAUACACAUACCUACAUAUUAACUAAGCAACUAAUCAUCAACUUAAGUAUUAAAGUAACACAUCUAUUCAAUAUAGGUAUCAUGGUGGACCUCCUUGAUGAUUGCGAUUAUUAUGGCAAGAAGAAGAAGCCAAAGCAAGAAUAGAGCUUGCGAGUUGAUUAAUGGCGUCUACCAAACCAUUCAUACCUUGUCUAUUUAUUUCAGUUUUUGAUUCCUCAAUCUUUAGUCUCCUCUCUUGUAGCCUCACCACUUCCUUAUGCCUCCUCUCUUGUCCCUCCUCAUUCUCUCUUAUCACUUGUGUGAUCACAGACGUGCAUCUAGACAACGCCACCCCAACCGCAUCCUCCUCUACCUCCCUCUCUCCUCCAGCGGUGGUUUCUCCCGGCGUUGUUCUCCUUCGCUUUGUCGAUGAUGUACCUGAAUGUACACACUCUUAUCAGUCUCUUCAUCGACCAAAAUGCGGGUUUAAUUACUACUUUAAUCUUAAUGUACUCAAGAACUUUAUUGUAAAGAAUUGUCUAUGCACACACAAGCAAAUUUAGGGUUACAUUUUUUCCUUCAUAGUAAUUGUAUAAGUUUUGAUUUUAAAUUUAUAAUUAGAUUGAUUAUAAUUAAUAACAAGUUGACUUGAGGGUGUUUGUUGGAAUGUCGAAAUCCACUUUAUAGAUUUAAUAUAAAAUCUAACUUUAGUGGUCAUUUAAUUAGGCUUUAAGAAUAAGAAGAGAGAUAAAACGGAAGGUACCUACUGUGGGCGGUAUAGGCUCAGCGUGAAAUGAAGACGAUGGUGGAGGUUGAGGCGGCGAAGGAAGUGAUAAGCUAAGAGACUGUGGCGGUGGUGGCGGAAGAGAUAACACUAUAGUAGUCGGGAUUUGAUGCAUCGGCUGAGCCAUCAUCGGAGCUACAAAUCCUAAACUUUGUUGGCAAACUCUUAGGAUCUGGCCACCGUUACCGUUUCCUACGGCGGCGGCGGCGGAGGAGGAGGAAGGAAGAGUUUUUCUGUCAACAAGCUCAGACAACACGUCGUAUAUCUGAGGCAACAUGUUACUCGGCAAGUUCUUCUCUUUCCUCUCAGUCUUGUCCAUCUUCCAGUAAGAGGAAGAAGUGACGGUGUUAAAAGACGAUUCUACCCUUGAUCUCUCGUACUCUCUGAUCUUCUUGUAAUCCCUCAUGAGAUUGUCCCACUUAUCGUUGCACUGAUUCUGGUUGCGGUAACAUCCUCUUCUCCAGCAAUACUCCUCUAUCCAUUUCCACCGGAGCUCUGCUGGUUUGUUUCUGCCUUCAGGUUGUUUUUCCGAUCGCCGUACACGCCUCUGGUCGUCCAUCUUCUUGGCUUCUAUGAGAACCAAAGUCUCACUCACUGUCCAAUUCCCUUUUCUGCACUCUCUCAUAACUAUCUGUUCACCACUCGAUGGAUCAGCGUCAGCCAUAUAUGUGUCUCUUUGGAUUUACCAAGAGGUAGCCAUACGUGUGUCUUUGAAUCUUGAAUUCAUGAACUAGAGAGAGAAAGAAAUAAGUGUUGGAGAAAGGGGAGAAGAAAGAGAUGAGCCAAAGACCGGUCAAAGUCUUUUGUUUUCUAGUACUAAGAUUGUCACCAAGUUCGAAAAGACAGUGAUUCCAAUAAUGAGAAAAUAUGAAAAACAAAGCAAGUUUUUUUAUUCUAUGUUUCCUACUAAAUUAAAUAAUUG